rnacentral:rRNA from 1 species
GGUGCAAGCGUUGCUCGGAAUUAUUGGGCGUAAAGGGUAGGAAGGUGGUCUCAUUUGUCUGGGGUGAAAGCCUUGAGCUUAACUCGAGAAGUGCCCCAGAAACGGUGAGACUGGAGUCCUGGAGAGGGUCGUGGAAUUCCCGGUGUAGCGGUGAAAUGCGUAGAGAUCGGGAGGAACACCAGAGGCGAAAGCGGCGACCUGGACAGGCACUGACACUCAACUAUGAAAGCGUGGGGAGCAAACAGG